rnacentral:rRNA from 1 species
UACGUAGGGUGCGAGCGUUGUCCGGAAUUAUUGGGCGUAAAGAGCUUGUAGGCGGUUUGUCGCGUCUGCCGUGAAAUUUCGAGGCUCAACCUCGAACUUGCGGUGGGUACGGGCAGGCUAGAGUUCGGUAGGGGAGACUGGAAUUCCUGGUGUAGCGGUGAAAUGCGCAGAUAUCAGGAGGAACACCGGUGGCGAAGGCGGGUCUCUGGGCCGAUACUGACGCUGAGGAGCGAAAGCGUGGGGAGCGAACAGG